rnacentral:rRNA from 1 species
AUCGGAAAAAUCCGGAUCUGGCGAAAAAAUGAGCGAGGGGGCGAAAUGCGUGCCAGCCGCCGCGGUUGUGCGUGCUUCCUGAAGCUGAAUGAAACGAUAUGAAGGGCGAUUGGAAAAAUGGAUUUGACUGUAGCUCCCAGCUGGUGGU